rnacentral:rRNA from 1 species
AGAGUUUGAUCCUGGCUCAGAAUGAACGUUGGCGGCGUGGAUUAGGCAUGCGAGUCGCGCGAUAAUGUAGCAAUACAGGACAGCGGCGAAAGGGAGAGGACAACAUAGGAAUCUGCCCUGGGGUCGGGGAUAGCGUCGGGAAACUGACGGUAAUACCCGAUAAUAUCCAAGGAUCAAAGGAGCAAUUUGCCCCGGGAUGAGCCUAUGCCCCAUUAGCUAGUUGGCGGUGUAAUGGACCACCAAGGCUGUGAUGGGUAGCUGGUGUGAGAGCACGACCAGCCUCACUGGCACUGAGACACUGGCCAGACACCUACGGGUGGCUGCAGUCGAGAAUCUUCGGCAAUGGACGAAAGUCUGACCGAGCGACGCCGCGUGUGGGAUGAAGGUCUUCGGAUUGUAAACCACUGUCGAGGGGGAUUAAGGGAAACUUGAAAGAACCCUGGAGGAAGGGGAGGCUAAGCUCGUGCCAGCAGCCGCGGUAAGACGAGCUCCCCAAACGUUAUUCGGUAUUACUGGGCUUANAGAGUUCGUAGGCGGCGAAGUAGGUGAGGUGUGANAGCCCUCGG